GUUUGGCUACCAAGUGGCUGCAACUUGAAAGCUUAUUUGUUGAAUUGCGGCUCCCCAGCACGAAUCAUCUAGGAAACGCAGCGCUGCGUCGUCACUAACAUGGACUCGGGGCCCGAUACAGAACAUGAGAGAAGUGUUUUCCUCCAAAAUCUUCGAAUGAUGCCCAGAGACACGUUCUUCAUUGCCUUUUUCUUUUUGUUUCUACCGGACGAGUCUGUAAACUUACAGAGUAGCGCCGUUUUUGUCAUUUGUUCAAUUCUAGGGCGAGUUAUCGAAUAAUAGCAGUAGCAGUAGCUGGACAAUAAUUUUUCAAGAUUCCGAUCCGGUGAUGAUUCCAGGGGCCAAACCCCGAGUUAUGUACGGUAAAGGGGAGGAAAAUAAGACAGCCGAGGAGGAGUGUGCGUGCGUGAAAGUGCGUGAGAAAUUAUCAUUUGAAGAAGAUGUCUUGGGUGAUAUUAUUGAUUCUGCACAGCCCUUGGUCCAAGACAGUCUGGCUUGCAUUUUGUUAAAUAUUCUCUCCCACAAGGCGCACCAUAAAGGAUCAAUCCAGGCGAUGGAUUUACUUGAAUAAACAACACUGGUGAUAUAUUACUAUUAAUAAUAUUCGACAGCACAACUGAAAUGUUAUGAGAUACGUAGAAAGUUUAGCAGGAAGCACUAAAGAAUGAUAUGCCUAUGUUUCGAUCGCUUACUAGGUAAUGGGCACCUUUAUUUAAUAAAGGGAAACGGAUGGGAGGGGCUGGUCAUGGCAAGUAUGUCGUAGUAUGUAUGUGAGUAUGUCCAUUGUCCACCCACCUUUCCAGUUUCCACGUGUUUCUUUCCGUGCCAGUUUAUUGAUGCAAUAAGAUAAGUAUGAUAGGGCUCCACGUAUGCAGGUGCAAUAUUUUAUGGCAGCAAAUAAUUGCAAUAUAUUACUGAAUGGAUGCUCCAGUCCAAACCAUAUAAAUUCACGUGAUUCACGGCACCGCGACAGGUCAACAACCUGGAUUCGAUCACAGAUCCUCUGAAACGCCAUGGACACCGUCCGAUGCUUCUUCCCUCCCAUCUACUUUUGGUGGGAUGGCCCACCUCAUCACUCCUUCAUGUUCUACCUUUUCCCGCCGGUUUCCCUUCCCCCAUUGCUCCCAAGUAGUAUAUAUGCUGUAGAUUUGACUCCAGUGGCCCAUAUAUUUAUUGCCCGGACCGAAUCUGAAUUCCUUCGCGUGACUUCCUUUUUCCUAAUAUCACAAGGUUUCAUAUUUUGAAAUUGGGUUUUGACGGUGUAAUCAGGCUUGAAACGCAAGUUUUGGUCUGGAUUUUGUGCAUAGAAUUGUAUGGAUUGUUCCCAUGGUUGAGCCGCCAAUUACGGAAUGGCCGUUUGGCAGGGGAAACAUCUCCGAAAGGAGAAAACACUGUUGGGCUGCCUGGCAAUUUCAGGAGGGAACGUAUAAGCAAACAUAGCAUCAUAAUUUUAUCCAAAAUUCCAGUUACAAGUAUUUUCCACUUUUGUACUCUCUCUUUUUUUUAACCUAACUUCAUUGGGUAUGAAAUAUUUUUCUU